rnacentral:rRNA from 1 species
GACGAACGCUGGCGGCGUGCUUAACACAUGCAAGUCGAACGGAAAGGCCGUGCUUUUGUGGGGUGCUCGAGUGGCGAACGGGUGAGUAACACGUGAGUAACCUACCCUUGCCUUUGGGGUAACUUCAUGCAACUUGGGCUAAUAGCGCAUAGGAGCUCCUGCUGCAGGGUGGGCGCUGGAUGGUUUCGGCGGUUGGGGGUGGAAUCGCCGCUUAUCAGCUUGUUGGGUGGGUAGUGGCUUACCAAGGCUAUGACGCGUAGCCGGGCUGAGAGGGUGACCGGCCACGCUGGGACUGGAAUACGGCCCAGCCUACUACGGGAGGCAGGGGUGGGGAAUGUUGCACAGUGGGCGGAAGCCAGGUGCAACCACGCCGCGUGCGGGGUGACGGGCUUCGGGUUGUGUACCGAUUUCGCCUGUGACGAAGCGUGAGUGACGGUAAUGGGUAAAGAAGCACCGGCUAACUACGUG